rnacentral:lncRNA from 1 species
AGAGACAAUGUUUAAAAAAAAAAGAAUCAAUAUUUAGAUCACGUAAUAAAAAUAAAAUAGAACUAAGGAAUUACAUUUGAAGUAGCAGCGUGAUAAAUCCUUUCCUCAUACUGAACAGCACUCCUUUUUAUUUCUUCGAAUCUUUCCUUCCCACCAGAAUUUAUCGCAUGUUUAUUUAAAGUAACUAUUCUGGAAUAACAAAAUAUUAGCAUACAUAAUUAGAUUUAAAUACUUUGGCAUUAUUAUAAUUUUCUGUUGACGAUGUAAUGAGAUGAACGAAUCGGAUAAUCUAAAACUGUAUAUAUUCACAUGAAAACUAGAUGUGAGGCAAUCAAUUUGAUUUCCUCCUUGAAAAUAUCGACAUGUGUCCUCCGAGUCUUAAUGAUAGAAAAAUAAAGGUGCAAGUAUUUUUAAUAACAAAAUAAUAAAAAAACAUUAAAAAAAAAUCAGAUGAACACCAAAUGGCUCUCCAGAAGUUAAAAUCGAAAGUAAGAACGAAAGAAAGAAAAACUCUGUAGAAGAAGAAAACAAAACAAAACAAAACAAAACAACAUUGAUGAUCAGUUCCAGAUAGAUGAUCGCAAAGCCGAUCAUCAGAUAGAAGAAAACAACAAUGAGGAAUAUAUAGAUGAUGAACAAAAACACGAUCAAAAAAUGCAAUCGGAUACGACGAUAUUAUAAAUGAGGAUUUCAGACUACAUCUUGUGGAUAAUGCGCUGACGAAAAUCGCUCUGCAAUUUCGAUCUCCAGUCAGUAGAAUUCGAUUCCUCCACAUCCCCCCCAUCCAUAGGCGAAAAUCCAUUACCUGUUUCAUCCAUCGAUUAUCUUCGCGCUCUUCAAAUCACCAGAACUCGAACAGAAUGGAAAAUCGGGAAAGAACGUUGAGUGAGGGAAGGGA